UACGGAGGGUGCAAGCGUUAUCCGGAUUCACUGGGUUUAAAGGGUGCGUAGGUGGGCUUGUAAGUCAGUGGUGAAAUCUCCGUGCUUAACAUGGAAACUGCCAUUGAUACUAUGAGUCUUGAAUUUUCUGGAGGUCAGCGGAAUAUGUCAUGUAGCGGUGAAAUGCUUAGAUAUGACAUAGGACACCGAUUGCGAAGGCAGCUGGCUACAGGGAUAUUGACACUGAGGCACGAAAGCGUGGGGAUCAAACAGG
rnacentral:rRNA from 1 species